UACGAAGGGGGCUAGCGUUGCUCGGAAUCACUGGGCGUAAAGGGCGCGUAGGCGGCCUUCUAAGUCGAACGUGAAAUCCCCGGGCUCAACCCGGGAACUGCGUCCGAGACUGAAAGGCUCGAAUCCGGGGAGAGGGAUGCAGAAUUCCAGGUGUAGCGGUGAAAUGCGUAGAUAUCUGGAGGAAUACCGGUGGCGAAGGCGGCAUCCUGGACCGGCAUUGACGCUGAGGAGCGAAAGCCAGGGGAGCAAAGCGGG
rnacentral:rRNA from 1 species